AUACGGGGGAUGCAAGCGUUAUUCGGAAUCAUUGGGCGUAAAGGGCACGCAGGCGGUUCUGUCAGUCAGAUGUGAAAGCCCGGGGCUUAACCCCGGACGUGCAUUUGAAACAGCAGGACUUGAGUAUGGUAGAGGAAAGCGGAAUUCCUGGUGUAGAGGUGAAAUUCGUAGAUAUCAGGAGGAACACCGGUGGCGAAGGUGGCUUUCUGGACCAAAACUGACGCUGAGGUGCGAAGGCGUGGGUAGCGAACAGGAUUAGAUACCCUAGUAGUCC
rnacentral:rRNA from 1 species